UGCCCCUUGGUGUAACUGGCAACACGCCGGAUUCUGGUUCCGGAGAGUCUAGGUUCGAGCCCUAGAGGGGCAA
rnacentral:tRNA from 1 species